CAGGUUCAGUGAUUAGGAGCAAUUCUUCAGAGCUUCCCAAACAAGGGUCCUGAAUUUGCUGUGAUUGUCAAUUCUGUAACAUCCAAGAAAGUUGCUGCUUUGAUCACUCUCACUGGUUUUCGCACUGAAAGAAAAUAAAGGGCCGAGAGGAGUUUCUUCAGCUUCAAGCAUAAUGCAACCAAGCUAUGAGCCAGCUAGGUAUGUUGGGAUUUUGAUCAUUUUCCAGUUUUUUUUGCCUCCCAGAAGGAUUUAUUCAUUUUGAAUGAGUUCAAAACUUCUUGUGGUGGAAACCAGACCAGUUUAAGUCAUUUUAAUGGCACAGUGCAUUUUCUAGAUUAAGGAGCCUGUGGUGAAGAAUUUGAAAUUCAUAAUCUUGUAUUAAUGUUAAGCUUUUAAUUA